AACGAACGCUGGCGGCAGGCUUAACACAUGCAAGUCGAACGCCCCGCAAGGGGAGUGGCAGACGGGUGAGUAACACGUGGGAACGUGCCCUUCGCUUCGGGAUAGCCUCGGGAAACUGGGAGUAAUACCGAAUACGCCGUAUUGGGAAAGAUAUAUCGGCGAAGGAUCGGCCCGCGUUGGAUUAGCUAGUUGGCGGUGUAAUGGACCACCAAGGCUACGAUCCAUAGCUGGUCUGAGAGGACGACCAGCCACACUGGGACUGAGACACGGCCCAGACUCCUACGGGAGGCAGCAGUGGGGAAUCUUGGACAAUGGGCGCAAGCCUGAUCCAGCCAUGCCGCGUGAGUGAAGAAGGCCUUAGGGUUGUAAAGCUCUUUUGUCCGGGAAGAUAAUGACUGUACCGGAAGAAUAAGCCCCGGCUAACUUCGUGCCAGCAGCCGCGGUAAU
rnacentral:rRNA from 1 species